GUUCUCUCUUCAGCAGCACAUGUACUAAAAUUGGAACGAUACAGAGAAGAUUAGUAUGGCCCCUGCGCAAGGAAGACAUGCAAAUUCAUGAAGCAUUCCAUAUUUUU
rnacentral:snRNA from 1 species